AUGGCUUCCAACUCCACCUGUAGGGCAUGGCAUUGCUUGCUUGCCCUCUUCCUCCUCGCCUCGGCCGCGUAUGGGCAGCUCUCACCGUCGUUCUAUGCGAGGAGCUGCCCGACGUUGCAGCUGAUCGUGCGCGCCACCAUGAUCAAGGCGCUCCUCGUUGAGCGCCGAAUGGGCGCGUCCCUCCUCAGGCUCCACUUCCAUGACUGCUUUGUUCAAGGCUGUGACGGGUCCAUUCUCUUGGAUGACGUGGGUAGCUUCGUGGGCGAGAAGACGGCCGCCCCGAACAAUAACUCGGUGCGGGGCUACGAGGUGAUCGACGAGAUCAAGCGGAACGUGGAGCUGCUCUGCCCUGGCGUCGUCUCCUGCGCGGACAUCGCUGCUCUCGCAGCACGGGACGGCACGUUUCUGCUAGGGGGGCCCAGCUGGGCGGUGCCGCUCGGCCGGCGCGACUCAACGACGGCCAGCCUGACCGAGGCGAACGCCGACCUCCCAGCUCCCUUCUUAACCCUGGACGGGCUCGUCAUGGCGUUCGACAAGAAGAAGCUAAACCCGCGUGACCUCACGGCGUUAUCCGGCGCGCACACUAUCGGCUUCUCUCAGUGCCUCAACUUCCGCGACCACAUCUACAACGGCACCAACAUCGACCCGGCAUUCGCCACACUGCGCAAGCGUACCUGCCCCGCCCAGCCCCCCAACGGCGACAUGAACCUGGCGCCGUUCGACGUGCAGACGCAGCUCGUCUUCGACAACGCCUACUACCGCAACCUGGUCGCCAAGCGCGGCUUGCUGAACUCCGACCAGGUGCUCUUCAACGGCGGCUCACAGGACGCGCUGGUGCGCCAGUAUAUCGCCAACCCGGCGCUCUUCGCCUCCGACUUUGUGACGGCGAUGAUCAAGAUGGGGAACAUCACACCGCUGACUGGAACCGCCGGCCAGAUUAGGCGCAACUGCAGGGUCGUCAACAGCUGA
rnacentral:rRNA from 1 species